rnacentral:lncRNA from 1 species
GUGGAGAAAAACACAUGAACUGGACUCUAACAAGACCUAACCAGCAACAAGACCUCGACCAGGACACAAACUCAACACUGCGGACUCUGAAACUGAAAUAUGCAGAGGCUAUGGCGCGGAAGGGUUGUAGGACAGGAAAACGAUGUGGCACUGGACUUAUGGGACGAACACAAGAACACCCGAAACUAAGGGUAGAUAUGAACCUAACGGUAUACCUCAAGCUUUGAUUACCACUUGAUGAGAACAAGGGUGGUCAGAUCUUCCAAAAUGUUCUGGUAACUCUCGAUUUGGUGGAGACGAGGCACAAAUCGAUCCGGCUUCCGAACAACACGAUCUGAAACCAUGCAAGUUUUUUUUUAUUUUUUUGAUAUUUUUCUUUUAUUUAGGAGCACUAAAGAAGUAACCACAGAAAUUUGAGCUUAAACAAGUGAUAGACGUGGCCUGCGGAAUUCUCUGAAGAUUGCGAAAAAUGUGAAAAAAACUUCACGAGGUGAAAACUCAAACUUCGGUGGUGAAUUUGGAGAUUAUAAAAUUGUCAAACCCCCCAAAGGCGGGGACAGACAGAUCCAAAAAAAUUUUCUCAUCGAUUUUGAUAAAUGGAACGUUGUAAUCGGAGUUCAUAUUCGAAAGUUAUGUCGUUUUACGAACGGACUCCGAAUUAGAGGACAAAACGGUCCGAAAGUGGGAAAAAUUUGCAGCGGUGGCUAGAAAUUGAUGGAAACGGUGCGGAAAAACACAUUAACGGGACUCUAACAAGACCUAACCAGCAACAAGACCUCGACCAGGACACAAACUCAACACUGCGAACUCUGAAACUGGAAUAUGCAAAGGCUAUGGCGCGGAAGGGUUGUAGGACAGGAAAACGAUAUGGCACUGGACUUAUGGGACGAACACAAGAACACCCAAAACUAAGGGUAGAUGUGAACCUAACGGUAUACCUCAAGCUUUGAUUACCACUUGAUGAGAACAAGGGUGGUCCGAUCUUCCGAAAGGUUCUGGUAACUCUCGAUUUGCUGGAGACGAGGCACAAAUCGAUCCGGCUUCCGAACAACACGAUCUGAAACCAUGCAAGUUUUUUUUAUUUUUUUAAUAUUUUUGUUUGACUUAGGAGCACUAAAGAAGUAACCCCAGAAAAUUUGAGCUUAAACAAGUGAAAGACGUGGCCUGCGGAAUUCUCUGAAGAUUGCGAAAAAUGUGAAAAAACUUCACGAGGUGAAAACUCAAACUUCGGU